UACGUAGGUGACAAGCGUUGUCCGGAUUUACUGGGCGUAAAGAGCGCGCAGGCGGUCGUUCAAGUCGAGUGUGAAAGCCCCCGGCUCAACUGGGGAGGGUCAUUCGAUACUGAUCGACUCGAAGGCAGGAGAGGGAAGUGGAGUUCCCGGUGUAGUGGUGAAAUGCGUAGAUAUCCGGAGGAACACCGGUGGCGAAGGCGGCUUCCUGGACCGGCAUUGACGCUGAGGCGCGAAAGCCAGGGGAGCAAACGGG
rnacentral:rRNA from 1 species